UUACAGCCACAUCAGGUUGAAACACCGGUUCCCGUACGAUUAUUGAAGUUAAGCAACGUUGAACAUGGUCAGUACCGAGGGGUGUGACCGCUUGGGAAUAUCAGUUGGUGUAAG